AUCCUGCCAGUAGUCAUAUGCUUGUCUUAAAGAUUAAGCCAUGCAUGUCUAAGUAUAAGCACUUGUACUGUGAGACUGCGAAUGGCUCAUUAUAUCAGUUAUAAUUUAUUUGAUGGUCAUUUACUUGGAUAACCGUGGUAAAUCUAGAGCUAAUACAUGCAUAAAAUCCUGACUGGGAACGGAAAGGAUGUAUUUAUUAGAUACAAAAACCAAUGCAUCAAGUCUUCGCGGGCUUGGUGGAAAACAUGGUGAUUCAUGAUAACUUUACGAAUCGUGUGGUCUCGUACCGACGAUAGUUCAUUCAAAUUUCUGCCCUAUCAACUUUCGAUGGUAGUAUAGAGGACUACCAUGGUGGUAACGGGUAACGGAGAAUCAGGGUUUGAUUCCGGAGAAGGAGCCUGAGAAACGGCUACUACUUCCAAGGAAGGCAGCAGGCGCGCAAAUUACCCAAUCCCGACACGGGGAGGUAGUGACAAAAAAUAACAAUACCGGUCUUAUAUAAGUCUGGUAAUUGGAAUGAGUACAAUCUAAACCCCUUAACGAGUAUCAAUUGGAGGGCAAGUCUGGUGCCAGCAGCCGCGGUAAUUCCAGCUCCAAUAGCAUAUAUUAAAGUUGUUGCAGUUAAAAAGCUCGUAGUUGGAUUUUAGAGUCUACUUUGUAGAGUCCGCUUGAAUGAGUGUGUAUUUUACGAGUGGCUCUCCUUACUAGACAUUCACGAUCAUUCUUAACUGAGUGGUUGGUCUUGCUCGCAAGGGUGAGGUGCUUGGUGGGUCUGGGGAUUGGGAUGUGGUUUCUUUACGGGGCAACCUGUGGGGAGAUCUGCUCAGUUCACUUCUAUCAAGUAGGAUUCUAGUUCAUUUACUUUGAGUAAAUUAGAGUGUUCAAAGCAAACGUACAUUUUGUAAUGAAUACUAUUAGCAUGGGAUAAUGGAACAGGACGUUGGUUCUAUUUUAUUGGUUUCUAGAACUAAUGUAAUGAUUAAAAGGGAUAGUUGGGGGCAUUAGUAUUUAAUUGUCAGAGGUGAAAUUCUUGGAUUUAUGAAAGACUAACUUCUGCGAAAGCAUUUGUCAAGGAUGUUUUCAUUAAUCAAGAACGAAAGUUAGGGGAUCGAAGACGAUCAGAUACCGUCGUAGUCUUAACCAUAAACUAUGCCGACCAGGGAUUGGAAGACGUUAAUUUAAAAAAUAGGACUCCUCCAGCACCUUACGAGAAAUCACAAGUUUUUGGGUUCUGGGGGGAGUAUGGUCGCAAGGCUGAAACUUAAAGGAAUUGACGGAAGGGCACCACCAGGAGUGGAGCCUGCGGCUUAAUUUGACUCAACACGGGAAAACUUACCAGGUCCAGACACAGUUAGGAUUGACAGAUUGAGAGCUCUUUCUUGAUUCUGUGGGUGGUGGUGCAUGGCCGUUCUUAGUUGGUGGAGUGAUUUGUCUGGUUAAUUCCGAUAACGAACGAGACCUCAGCCUGCUAAUUAGUUAUAUAAAUUAAUACGCUAUGAGGGUUUGCUGUAGAGCUUCUUCGCAAGAGGAGGAUUUGGAGUGAAAACUUGUUUUAAUUUAUAGGAACUUCUUAGAGGGACACUUGGUGUCUAACCAAGGGAAGUUUGAGGCAAUAACAGGUCUGUGAUGCCCUUUAGAUGUUCUGGGCUGCACGCGCGCUACACUGAUAUAAUCAACAAGUAUCAACAACCUUUGCAGAAAUGUAUGGGUAAACUUUUGAAAUUAUAUCGUGCUGGGGAUCGAUAAUUGUAAUUAUUUAUCGUCAACGAGGAAUUCCUAGUAAGCGCAAGUCAUCAGCUUGCGUUGAUUACGUCCCUGCCCUUUGUACACACCGCCCGUC
rnacentral:rRNA from 1 species